AAGCUCCCCACCUCAUUGAGAGCUGUAGAAGCUGAAGCCACUGUUUGUUCGGGGGCCUACAUUUCAGCAACUUAGGAAUAUUAGUGAGCUGUGCAAGCCAUUUCUGUGAACAAUGAAAGUAAAGUGCAUGCCAGUGUCUUGGAACAGUUGAAAACUUGUUUACUGUGGUCCCUUCCCUUUGGGUAUUUAAAGGUUUAACUGAAAGCCCCAAUAAUUGGCAGUCUGUGCUAUUAAUCUCAUUCAAGGACUUGAUUAUGAAUUUCAUGGAAUCUGAGUUUACUCCCAUCUAAUCUCUCUAUUUUGUAAUUGAGAGAAGCACAGAGAAAACAAAAGCUGUGUUUAAGUUUGCUUAGAGGACUAACUCGGGUCUAGUGGUCUCUCAAUCCAGUGCUCUUUUAUAUUAAACCAUAAAGUUGAAGUUUAUUUCGUAGGAUGCUGCUUCAGGACUGAUUUUAGUUGUAGCUUUCAAAUAGACUUCGGUUUAUAAAUGAACAGAAUUAUUCAAUGUAGUAUUUUUAUCUGGCUCUGGGGAAAGUUGACCUUUGUGUUCAGAGCAACAAAUGUACUUUACCCAGGGUUGUCUUUGGUUUCUGAGCUAAUUUUGUAUCACAGGUGCAAGAUUUACUUUAAUUAUCAAGAUGAACAGCUGGGAGGGGUCAGCUUGUUACCCAUCUGGUCCUAAUCCAGCCAAGAGGCCUCUGUGCCCCAUGCCAAUAUUUCCAAUUGUCAGUGGCCCUGACUUUUCCUGUUGCUGGAGUUUUAAUCUCAUCUGCCAAUUGUGGAGCUACUGAGAGAUUCCCUGGCCCCCUAAACACCUCGCUCUCCUCCUCUCAGAUAUGACAUAUACAUACUUCAUUCAUCAGGAUCUCAAGAUCUUAAGGUGUCACUGUGAAUCUGCCAUUCAGCUGAUCUCCAGGCUAUCGGGGCACCAACGUCUCUCAAAAACACAAACUUCGUAAUCCUUACUGGCAUUUCUCUGGCUGAGGGGACAUUUAGCUGCCAUUCUGGGAGGCUCAAGCUCAUACUUGGGGAAAGAGGAGAAGGGAAAAAGUGACCAUAAAACUUUUCUUCUGCAGAGUACCAUAACCUCAUAGUCUUUCUGACCUGCAACAACCUAUGGUUGGUACAGCCAUUAUUUGGUUUGGGGUGUUUUUUUAGGUCAUCAUUCCUCUUUUUUUAAAAAAACUGAAGAUUUACAAUGUGUAAAUCUGCUGUAUAGCCACAGCAAUUCAGUUAUACACAUAUAUACAUUUUAAAAAUACUCUACCAUUAUGGUUU
ensembl:lncRNA